GACGAACGCUGGCGGCGUGCUUAACACAUGCAAGUCGAACGGUAAGGCCCUUCGGGGUACACGAGUGGCGAACGGGUGAGUAACACGUGGGUGAUCUGCCCUGCACUUCGGGAUAAGCCUGGGAAACCGGGUCUAAUACCGGAUAGGACUCCGGACUGCAUGUCCUGGGGUGGAAAGCUUUUGCGGUGUGGGAUGGGCCCGCGGCCUAUCAGCUUGUUGGUGGGGUGAUGGCCUACCAAGGCGACGAGGGGUAGCCGGCCUGAGAGGGUGACCGGCGACACUGGGACUGAGAUACGGCCCAGACUCCUACGGGAGGCAGCAGUGGGGAAUAGUGCACAAUGGGCGCAAGCCUGAUGCAGCGACGCCGCGUGAGGGAUGACGGCCUUCGGGUUGUAAACCUCUUUCAGCACAGACGAAGCGCAAGUGACGGUAUGUGCAGAAGAAGGACCGGCCAACUACGUGCCAGCAGCCGCGGUAA
rnacentral:rRNA from 1 species